AACGAACGCUGGCGGCAUGCCUAACACAUGCAAGUCGAACGAAGUCUUCGGACUUAGUGGCGCACGGGUGCGUAACGCGUGGGAAUCUGCCCUUGGGUGCGGAAUAACUUCUCGAAAGGGAUGCUAAUACCGCAUAAUGUCGUAAGACCAAAGAUUUAUCGCCCAAGAAUGAGCCCGCGUAAGAUUAGCUAGUUGGUGGGGUAAAAGCCUACCAAGGCGACGAUCUUUAGCUGGUCUGAGAGGAUGAUCAGCCACACUGGGACUGAGACACGGCCCAGACUCCUACGGGAGGCAGCAGUGGGGAAUAUUGGACAAUGGGCGAAAGCCUGAUCCAGCAAUGCCGCGUGAGUGGUGAAGGCCCUAGGGUUGUAAAGCUCUUUUACCAGGGAUGAUAAUGACAGUACCUGGAGAAUAAGCUCCGGCUAACUCCGUGCCAGCAGCCGCGGUAAU
rnacentral:rRNA from 1 species